UUUUAUGGAUGAGCAAAGAAAGUGGUUUCUGGAGAUGGAAUCUGCUUCUGGUGAAGGUACCAUGAA
rnacentral:pre_miRNA from 4 species